GCCAACCGUUGCCACCACUAAGACCAUAAACGUAGCUUCAGAAGCCAUUUCUGCGGUGGAACACGCCUGAACCACAAUGAGACUACCUGGAGUCUCCUUGCCUUCUACACCUGUCUCCUUUGUCCGUACCGCCCCUACCCAACGUCACCGUUACCUGGUCACGCCCCUUGCGUUGCCUGUCAUUUGUCCCGCCAACGUGCCGCUAUCCGUUAAUCAGUGCGGCCCUCGACUGGACCCCUUACACCCGCCUCUUGUACGUAGACGAACAGUUAGCCUUGAAACACCAGCAGUGCAC